rnacentral:rRNA from 1 species
GCAUAUCAAUAAGCGGAGGAAAAGAAACCAACAGGGAUUGCCUUAGUAACGGCGAAGUGAAGCGGCAAUAGCUCAAAUUUGAAAGCUGGCCCCUUCGGGGUCCGCGUUGUAAUUUGUAGAGGAUGAUUCGGCGAGGGCUCCCGUCUAAGUCCCUUGGAACAGGGCGUCAUAGAGGGUGAGAAUCCCGUAUGUGAUGGGCUGCCUUAGCCAUGUGAAUCUCCUUCGACGAGUCGAGUUGUUUGGGAAUGCAGCUCUAAAUGGGAGGUAAAUUUCUUCUAAAGCUAAAUACCGGCCAGAGACCGAUAGCGCACAAGUAGAGUGAUCGAAAGAUGAAAAGCACUUUGGAAAGAGAGUUAAAAAGUACGUGAAAUUGUUGAAAGGGAAGCGCUUGCAGCCAGACUUGUCCGCAGUUGCUCAGCUUGUCUCCUGACAGGCGUACUCUUCUGCGGCCAGGCCAGCAUCAGUUCGGGCGGUCGGAUAAAGACCCGGGGAAUGUAGCUCCUCUCGGGGAGUGUUAUAGCCCUGGGUGCAAUGCGGCCAGCCUGGACUGAGGAUCUCGCUUCGGCUAGGAUGCUGGCGUAAUGGCUGUAAGCGGCCCGUCUUGAAACACGGACCAAGGAGUCUAACAUCUAUGCGAGUGUUUGGGUGUCAAACCCAUGCGCGUAAUGAAAGUGAACGGAGGUGGGAACCCUCACGGGUGCACCAUCGACCGAUCCUGAUGUCUUCGGAUGGAUUUGAGUAAGAGCAUAGCUGUUGGGACCCGAAAGAUGGUGAACUAUGCCUGAAUAGGGUGAAGCCAGAGGAAACUCUGGUGGAGGCUCGCAGCGGUUCUGACGUGCAAAUCGAUCGUCAAAUUUGGGUAUAGGGGCGAAAGACUAAUCGAACCAUCUAGUAGCUGGUUCCUGC